GCCCCCAUAGCUCAGUUGGUAGAGCGCGGCACUAGUAUCUAAUCACGAUCACGUGAUCUAAACAUGCCGAGGUCUGCAGUUCAACUCUGUAUGUGGGCA